UAGUGUUAGGGCAGAGGUUGGACUGGGUGAUCUGGGAGGUCCCUUCCAGCCUCGGUGAUUCUGUGUGAUUCUGUGUGAAAUUAACUCCCAAACUGAUCAGUCAAUCAAAUCCUUUUAUUUAAAUACACCGACGGUCGUCCUCGCCUGACUCCCGCCGGCCGACCCCCCCCAAUUCGUGCAUUAUUCAUGACCCCCCUCAUGAAUAUUCACGAGGCCCGCCCGGGCCGGAAGCGGCCCCUCACGGCCGGCCUGGGGGGGGAAGCGCCGCGCGCGCGCGCCGCCCGCCGCCGCCCGCCGCCGCCGCCGCCACUUCCGCCCUGCCGCCAACCGCCGCCCCCCGCGCGCGCCGCCGCCACACGGCGCUUCCGGUAAAGCCCCGCGCGCUUCCGGCCCGGCCGCUCGCAGCCCCGCCGCGGCGGGCGGGGGGGGGGAGGGGGAGGGGGAGCGUCCCCGUGCCGGCGGCCGCCGCGGCCCCGCCCCCUCGCGACCGGAGGCGGCGGUGACGCCAUCCCGCCCCGCUCCGCGCCCCCGGAAGAGCUCGGGCCGCCGACCCGGAAGCGGCACCGCCGCUCCCCUCUUUCCGAGCCGGCCCUGGAAGGAGGAGAGAUGCGAGAGGAGGGAGAGUGAGAGGGGUAAGGAGCUCCCGCAGCACCGUGAGUCAGCCUCGCCCCCGGGGGGGGGGGUGGUUGGGGGNNNNNNNNNNNNNNNNNNNNNNNNNNNGGGGCGGCGCAUGGGCGGUUCCGAACUCGUCGAGCUCGGGGUUUGGGGCUCAGGGCCUCGGGUGUUACGUUGGGGGGGGGGGUCCCGGUGUGCAUCCAGGUGGGCUUGGUCUAAAGACGCGGCAGUGCUUGAACUUCUUGGCGCUUAGGAACUUAGUUGGAGGCGUUUUUCCAUUUGAUCCAAUAUCCCGCGUGGGCAUCCUCAGUGUUUUGCAGCGAUUAAGCCUAAAACCUCCUCGUUACCGACCAGUUAUUCCUUGUUACUUGCACAGACAUAAAAUGACAACUUAAAUCACUCGGGGCCUUUUAUCACCUGAAAACUGCCUAGAAGAUAAACGUCAGGUGUCUGGAGAAUAAAGAAAACCACAUUACAACUUAAUCUCUAAAU
rnacentral:lncRNA from 1 species